CCUACGGGGGGCUGCAGUGGGGAAUAUUGGACAAUGGGGGCAACCCUGAUCCAGCCAUGCCGCGUGUGUGAAGAAGGCCCUCGGGUUGUAAAGCACUUUCAGUGAGGAAGAACGCCUGGUGGUUAAUACCCAUCAGGAAAGACAUCACUCACAGAAGAAGCACCGGCUAACUCCGUGCCAGCAGUCGCGGUAAUACGGAGGGUGCGAGCGUUAAUCGGAAUUACUGGGCGUAAAGCGCGCGUAGGUGGCUUGAUAAGCCGGUUGUGAAAGCCCCGGGCUCAACCUGGGAACGGCAUCCGGAACUGUCAAGCUAGAGUGCAGGAGAGGAAGGUAGAAUUCCCGGUGUAGCGGUGAAAUGCGUAGAGAUCGGGAGGAAUACCAGUGGCGAAGGCGGCCUUCUGGACUGACACUGACACUGAGGUGCGAAAGCGUGGGUAGCAAACAGGAUUAGAUACCCUUGUAGUC
rnacentral:rRNA from 1 species